AAGAAUUGUGUUACUAUGAUUAAUAACACGUGUGAUAGACUUUAAUUGCUAAUUAAAAUAAAUCUAAUUAGUAAAUUAAAACCCUAAAACCUAGAACCCUAAAUUAAUUUCUAGAAACCCUAAUUAUAUUAUGGAAACCCUGAUUUUUGGUAUUAUAAACCCUAAUUGCUUUAUUAGCAAAGUUGAUUAUGAUUAAGGGUAAUAAACCCUAAUAUCCAUGUAUAAGGUCAUUACAAACUUACUUUAAUUAACAAAGUUAUUAUUUUCAAAAUUUUAGAAACUAAAAUAAUUUUAUUUUCUUUAUAAACCCUAGUUGCUCUAUCCUAAUUUUGGAAAUCCUAGAAUUUUGCUAACUUGGCUCAAACCCUAAACCCUAAGGGUUUACAAGGAUUACAUGGUUGCCCUUAAAAUUACAAACUAAAUGACCAUUAUACCCCUAGUUGUAUUAUUUAGGCUAAAUAUUAGGUUUUGACAUUUAGGUUGAGUUGUUAACCAACUCAUACUAACUCCAACAACUCUCUUGACUUCUAAUGACAGCAACAAGCUACUAAUCUCAGCCAAUACAUGCAUCCAUGUUGUCUAUAUAAGGAUUGAGAGAGAGAAAAAGUGAUUUUGUUAGCCAAUUUUAUUCAAUACUCAACCAACUCUCAUUUUCUCUCAAACCAACGAAAUUUGUUGCUAAAUCAGUCCCUUUAUCAAGCCCCACAUCCUCCAUAAUCCAAUCACAAACAACUUGGAGAGCAAAAAUCAAAAAUCAAGGCAUAAAGGUAUAAAAACCCUAAUUUUCGAAAUCCUUUGAUUUGAUGUUAAUUGUUGAAAUUGAUUUGUUAAAUAUGUGUAAUAAGGAGUGUAUUAAUGUUCUGGGUUGUUAGAUUCAUGACCCAUAACAUCAAAGUGCUCAAAAUCAAAGUUUUUCCAACUUUUAAAAAAAACGAAAUCUGUUAUUUUUAGGCAAAUGUCAGGCCUUAUAUCUCUGUGAUUAUUUAGUCUUUUUGGUGUUUGUAAGUUGUUAUAUGUAGUAUGUAAUAUGCUCUUUAAGGUACAAAAAGAAUCAAGUUCAUAUCUGUUAUAUAUCAAGAGUUAUUCAUGGUCAAAACCCGUUGACCGAAACUGCUCAAGAACACGAACCCAGAAUUUUAUGAACAAUUUCCGUGGUGAACUUUGACCGGAUAUUUCCAGUUAGAUAUGUUGUUGUUAUAUGUAUAUUAUGUAUUAUAGUUGUAGUCCUACAUGAGUUCUACACACUGGAAUUGAUAGAUCACACAAACAUUACAUGGAUUGCAAGUUAUAGAGGUCCAAAGUAGGCACCUCGAACUGUUCUUUGUGAAGAACAGCUCUGACAGCUAUUUUGAUGGCCAAUAUCUCCCAGAUCUGAUGUUGUUAAGCCAUGAUUGUUGUUGGUAAUUAUAGUCUUACAUGAGCACUACAAGACUCAAUUUAUAGAUUGUCCAAAUUCGUUCGGAUGAGAGAGUUAUACUCGGUCAAAGUAGCCCUCUCGAUCACUGCCUUAUGAAAUCUGGGUUGGUGAAGAACACCAUUAGCGACGGUUUCUGUCGCCUAAACCCUAUAGCGACGGUUUUGUAUUAUUUUUAAUUUUUGUAUUUUCCGAAAAUGAUUAAAAAUUAGAAAAAAUUAGAUUUUAAUUAUUAUAAAUACGAAAUAAAUUCUGAAAAAUUAUUUUAAAGUCUGUAAAAUAGUUUUUAAUUAUUUUGGGCAUAUUUCGAAAAUAUUUAAUAUUUUUGGAAUGUAAGAAGUAUUUAAUUUAUUUAAUUACAAUAUUGGAUAAAUUAUUUAAAAAUAGUUUUAAUUCAUGAAAAAUCAUGAAAAAUUAUAUUAUUGUGUUAGAAAAUAUUUUGAGUUAUUUUUGGUAACUUUUAAUAUUUUGUGAUAAUUUUCAUUAAUAAAUUAAUAUUAAUGAUAUUAGAUUUAUUUGAUUAUUAAAUUAAAUAAAUAAGAUAAAAAUGAUUUUAAUGAUUUAAAAAUCAUUUUUAAAUGAAAAUAAAGUAUUUAAAAAUAUUUUAUGUUAUAAAAUAUAACUUUUAAUAUUUAAUGGUUAAUUUCAUUAAUUAAUGAUUAAUAUUUAAAGGAUAAUUUCAUUAAUAAAUUAAUAUUAAUGAUAUUUAUUUAAUGAUUAAUGAUAUUAAAUUUAUUUAAUAAUUAUAUUAAAUAAAUAGUUUUAAAAUGGUUUUAUUAAUUUAAAAAUCAUUUAAAAGGGAUAAAAAUGAAUUAAAAAUAUUUUAAGUUAUAAUUAAUGACUUUUAAUAUUUGGAUAAAUAGUUCAUUAAUAUUUAAAUAUUAAUGGUAAUUAUUUAAUAAUAAUUUUAAAUGUUUUAAAAAUCAUUUAAGGGUAAUAUAAAUACUUUAAAAAUAUUUUCAGUUAUUAUAAAUAACUUUAAUAUUUUGGCAAUGGUUUCAUUAAUAGUUUAAUAUUAAUUAAAUAUUAAUGAUAAUAGAAUUAUUUGAUAUUUAAAUCAUUUUAUAAUGAUUCCGGUGUUUGAAAAUUUGUGAUAAAUUAUGAUAAAUGAUAAUAAUUAUUUAAAAAUUAUUAUAAAGCCAUGAAAGAUAGUGCAAUUGAUGUUUAAGUUAUCCAAAUGAAUAUUGAACUACUGUAUAGAGUCUUAGACUCUAUUAGUACCCGAUAAAGUUGUCGAUAGACCGGCAUGGUUCAGAAAUUGAUCUGGACAUAGAUAAUUUAGUUAGUUAACUGUUUAUUUGUGAUUCAAUGGUGGUUAAGGUUAUGUAACAAUGCGAUUAGGAAUGUGUUGAUGAUUGUUUGUGAAACCAUGAUUGUUGAACAUGUGUGAUAAGGUGAUUAGGUUAUGUGCUGACUGCAAUAGGCAGUGUUAUGUGUUACGUUAUGAUAUACUAAUCAGUAAAAUGAUUUGAUUAAUGAUAGGUCGUGAUAGAAAAGAUAAAUCUAAGUUGCGUAAGUGUAAGCAGCGCAUCAGGCAAGUAUCCUAACUUUGCAUUUUCUUUAUGCAAUGGACAAGUGUAAGAAUGUUUCAAAAUUAUAUUAUUAUUAUUAAUGUACAGAUUGUUAAAGCUAUAUUAUAUAAGCCCAUUGAUUAUCAACAUGUUAGUAUAUGAUAAUUCGGAUAAAUAUAUUCUGUUCGUUAAUUUCUAUAAAUGAUUAUACAAGUGUCCCCACUUGGAUAAUCAUUGUAUUUAAUCGCAUGUUGAUACACCUUUGAUAUACAUAUAUGUUGAAUUAUAUAAGACCUUUGUUAUGAAAACCCGACAGAAAUGAACAUCCCGAUAAUGGGAAAAUUUUUAUGCGCUACGGCGGACAAAGGAUGAACGAUAAUAUCGUUCUAGCAAUGUAGUAUUGAUCAAUACAGGGCCCAUGGACUGUACACCCUCAGGCCCGUAAGCAAUGCCGGUUUACAGAUGAAUUUCUGUUUAACCUUUUCGAAAAUGAAAACAAUGUUCAUGAUAUGUCACAGAAACCUUAUAAAUAGACAAUACACAGUUUCAAAAACUUGAACGAGGGUUGUUAUGCUAUUAUUAUUGGUACAGAUUACUUCACAACUACUGACUGGUUGUAGAAGAAUAUUAUAAAGAAAACAUUUAAAUUCUUUCAGCUUAUAUAUAUAUAAUACUUGCUGGGCACUCAAAUGCUCAUCCUUGCUUAAUUUAAAUGUUUUCAGCUAAGUAUGAAAAGCUAGAAGGCUCGGCCAGGAACAAGUGAAAAGGAAAGCAAACAGAAUAUGUUAUUGGUAUCAUUUGUAAUAG
rnacentral:lncRNA from 1 species